CGCGCUGGAAGCCUCGUCUUUGUAACAUCGAGGUAUCCUGUAACUAGAUGGGUCCUGGCCUGCGGAGGUAGUUUCCCCUGUGAAGCCAGGGACUCAGCCAGGAGCGUGAGGGGACCCGGAUCCUGAGUCUCCAAGCCGCCCACUACCCUCUGCUUUACCGGAUGGAACUCAUCAGUAACUAGGUCUGAGGCACAGUCAGUGAAUACCUGUUUAAUGAAUGCAUGCAUAAAUGAAUGAAUGGAUGAUCCAGCUCUUCCUGGAGCAGGCACGACUUCCACAGAAACAGAGCAAACGCUAGCCGUAAGCAGAAAGAACGUUAUAGCUCCAGCGCUGAAUGAGACAUCUUUGAUUCUGUGGUGAUGCGGACUUUGUGCCUCUCUGUGAGGAAUCACUUUGUUCCAAUGACGCAAUUUUCCUCACACUCCGGAAGUGUCCUGCACUGCCAGAAUCGCCCAGCUUCCCGGCACACCUAUCAACCAGUCGUUCCCAGCACUGCCCAGUAUGCAGCCUCCAGGCAGAGGGCCUGGAUGUCUUGGCAGGUGUUUCCGAAAAAUCCAAUCCACCCUCCAAGGUGGAAAGUGUGCCAUCUCUGCCCAUAAUCCAAAUGGCGUGCCUGAGGCAUAGAAAGCAGCUUUCAGGGAGGCCUUCCUUCCUCUGAGCAAUGGUGGCAUCAUCAGAAAAGUGGAGCUCCUCCAAAAGGAUCUGCUGGAAGCAGAGGACGCCCAUGUGGAGCAGCAUGCGGAGGGCCCUUGCACAACCUGGGUCUUCAGGAAGG
rnacentral:lncRNA from 1 species